rnacentral:rRNA from 1 species
UAAUGUCUGGGAAACUGCCUGAUGGAGGGGGGUAACUACUGGAAACGGUAGCUAAUACCGCAUAAUGUCGCAAGACCAAAGUGGGGGACCGUUCGGGGCCUCAUGCCAUCAGAUGUGCCCAGAUGGGAUUAGCUAGUAGGUGGGGUAAUGGCUCACCUAGGCGACGAUCCCUAGCUGGUCUGAGAGGAUGACCAGCCACACUGGAACUGAGACACGGUCCAG